rnacentral:rRNA from 1 species
AACGAACGCUGGCGGCAUGCCUAACACAUGCAAGUCGAACGAGACCUUCGGGUCUAGUGGCGCACGGGUGCGUAACGCGUGGGAACCUGCCCUUAGGUUCGGAAUAACUCCCCGAAAGGGGUGCUAAUACCGGAUAAUGUCUUCGGACCAAAGAUUUAUCGCCUUUGGAUGGGCCCGCGUUGGAUUAGCUAGUUGGUAGGGUAAAAGCCUACCAAGGCGACGAUCCAUAGCUGGUCUGAGAGGAUGAUCAGCAACACUGGGACUGAGACACGGCCCAGACUCCUACGGGAGGCAGCAGUGGGGAAUAGUGGACAAUGGGCGAAAGCCUGAUCCAGCAAUGCCGCGUGAGUGAUGAAGGCCUUAGGGUUGUAAAGCUCUUUUACCCGGGAUGAUAAUGACAGUACCGGGAGAAUAAGCUCCGGCUAACUCCGUG